rnacentral:rRNA from 1 species
AGAGUUUGAUUCUGGCUCAGAUUGAACGCUGGCGGCAGGCCUAACACAUGCAAGUCGAGCGGUAGCACAGAGAGCUUGCUCUCGGGUGACGAGCGGCGGACGGGUGAGUAAUGUCUGGGAAACUGCCUGAUGGAGGGGGAUAACUACUGGAAACGGUAGCUAAUACCGCAUAACGUCGCAAGACCAAAGUGGGGGACCUUCGGGCCUCAUGCCAUCAGAUGUGCCCAGAUGGGAUUAGCUAGUAGGUGGGGUAACGGCUCACCUAGGCGACGAUCCCUAGCUGGUCUGAGAGGAUGACCAGCCACACUGGAACUGAGACACGGUCCAG